CUUUCUCCGCCGGCGACCGGCGCACGGGGUGAGUAACACGUAUGCAACCUGCCCCUGUCAGGGGGACAACCCGCCGAAAGGCGGGCUAAACCCGCGUACAUGCCACCGGGGCAUCCCGGAGGCAGGAAAAGGCUUCGGCCGGACAGGGAUGGGCAUGCGGCGCAUUAGGCAGUAGGCGGGGUAACGGCCCACCUAACCGACGAUGCGUAGGGGUUCUGAGAGGAAGGUCCCCCACACUGGUACUGAGACACGGACCAGACUCCUACGGGAGGCAGCAG
rnacentral:rRNA from 1 species